rnacentral:rRNA from 1 species
AGAGUUUGAUCCUGGCUCAGGAUGAACGCUAGCGGGAGGCCUAACACAUGCAAGUCGAACGGAGAUAAGGGGCUUGCUCCUUAUUUUAGUGGCGCACGGGUGAGUAACGCGUGGAUAAUCUACCUUGGAAUCUGGGAUAACAUUUCGAAAGGGGUGCUAAUACCGGAUAAGACCACGAGCUCUUUGGAGUUUGCGGUAAAAGGGGGCCUCUGUAUAUGCUUCUGUUUCAAGAUGAGUCCGCGUACCAUUAGCUAGUUGGCAGAGUAAUGGCCUACCAAGGCGACGAUGGUUAGCUGGUCUGAGAGGAUGAUCAGCCACACUGGAACUGAGACACGGUCCAGACUCCUACGGGAGGCAGCAGUGAGGAAUAUUGGUCAAUGGGCGCAAGCCUGAACCAGCCAUCCCGCGUGCAGGAUGAAGGCCCUAUGGGUCGUAAACUGCUUUUAUACACCAAGAAAAACACCCACGUG